UGAAAUGCAGUUUUCACCUCAUUCGUUUACAAAAUACUUAUAAUGAUUAAAAAGCCCUUUUUCAUACGGUAUUCAAAUUUAAAACUAGAAAACAUUUCCUAAAUUUACGCUAUAAAUAAAAAUUGUAAUUUGCGAUACUUAUCGAUUUCAACUUAAAUUUAAUAGAACAUUGGUGGAAAUUUCAAACAAAAGGCUACUUUAUAAAGGCAAAAGAAGAGAUUUCAUGGCGAGAGGGAAAAGAUUACAAUGGUGUUCGAAAAGAUGUUCUGGAAAAAACAAGCAAGUUUUGUGAUUACCCUGAGUGCUAUUGCAAUCCAAAUGAGGGUCCACUAGUAGGGAAGGAGAUGAGAUCGUUGAGCACUGAGUUACUGAGUUACACACGUAGAGUCACCAGAAUUUUUUUUGGAAGCAGAUGACAUGAAAAAUGAGAAAUGUCCCCGCCGAGACUCGGACCUGGACUUCUCGAACACGAACCAAUUGUGCUAUCGUUACACCACGAAGGCAUGGAGAAAGAAGGGAGAAAAUACCUUAUACAGUCUCCAUUUUAAAGAGCCACUUGUGAUUAGGGGACACAAUUACCAAAUCCUGGGGGCGAAGAAUCAUCAUUCACCACCUUUUAGCCACUGUAGAGUCAUUAGAAUAUUUUUUUUUAACAGAAGACAUGAAAAAUGAGCAAUGCCGUCGGAAAGACUCGAACCUGGACCUCUUGAGUACGCGCGGAGUGUGCUACCGUAACACCACGAAGGCAUGCAGAAAGGAAAGUGAAAAUACCUUAUGCAUGAACUUUAAGCCCAACGAACGGACUGGAAGCCUGAUCAUGAUCUUUCAUAAUUUUCUCUAUGUAUAACACGAAUAAAAACCAGUUUUCCUGAUAAAUUCUUCCAAGAAGACAUCAAUUUACUAGGGCAGACAACCCUAGUGUGCUUAACUAUAAUCGAAUACGCUAGUUCAAUUCAAAUCCAAACCAGUAUCUAAAAAUGUCUCCGAUUAACAUUUAAAACUUUUCGGUGUUUGAGUGAUGCGUGUUUGAAAUUAUUAUCAAAUGUAUUCAUUAAAGCUGUGGCAACGGCUCUUUGAUGAAAAGACAAAUGUUAAAAUCUUUUGGAUAUGGAUUCUUUUCAUCAGUUUAUUUAGAAAUGAUAUGAUACAUCAGUUAAGUUACAUUAAGUGUUCCAUUGCUUAUUAUUUUGAACAUUUCCUUGAAGAAUUAUUAAACCUUUUUUUUACUAUUUUAUACCACAGACAGAAUAUUCUAUAAUAACAAAAUUGAAGGAUCUGCCUUUACUGAUCUAACUGCCAUUCAAAGUAUUCUAAA